GAUGAACGCUGGCGGCGUGCCUAAUACAUGCAAGUCGAGCGAACAGACGAGGAGCUUGCUCCUUUGACGUUAGCGGCGGACGGGUGAGUAACACGUAGGUAACCUACCUAUAAGACUGGGAUAACUUCGGGAAACCGGAGCUAAUACCGGAUAAUAUUUCGAACCGCAUGGUUCGAUAGUGAAAGAUGGCUUUGCUAUCACUUAUAGAUGGACCUGCGCCGUAUUAGCUAGUUGGUAAGGUAACGGCUCACCAAGGCAACGAUACGUAGCCGACCUGAGAGGGUGAUCGGCCACACUGGAACUGAGACACGGUCCAGACUCCUACGGGAGGCAGCAGUAGGGAAUCUUCCGCAAUGGGCGAAAGCCUGACGGAGCAACGCCGCGUGAGUGAUGAAGGUCUUCGGAUCGUAAAACUCUGUUAUUAGGGAAGAACAAACGUGUAAGUAACUGUGCACGUCUUGACGGUACCUAAUCAGAAAGCCACGGCUAACUACGUG
rnacentral:rRNA from 1 species